UUAUGAUAUAUAUUGAGGUAAAAAAUAAGUACAUCUUGACUUAUUUUACGAAUGUAAACUUAAACAAUAAGCUUUCUUUAUUAUGUUGAGUCAAGCUUCAGUGGCGUCUCGAGCCAUUAUUCAGGUCAAGUAAACAUGCUGGACGCUUUGGACGAUUUAUGAGCAGCAAUCAGGGAGAUUUUAUGAGCGUCUAGGAAAAACUGCUUAAUAACCUAUUAGCUCUCUCGACACAACUCUGAUUUGAUCAAUAUGACAUUCGCAAAGAGCCAUCGGGCCGCCGGGAUCCUGGGAGUCAGUUCGCCUCUCAUGGGAAAAGAUGAAAAGCUGGACACGCCGAGAGAUAGAAAGUAGGGGACAGAUGUCACCGAUUGAGCCAGCCCCCCUCCCACUGCCCCGCCUCUUCCCUUCCCUAUCAAAGGCCUGGGAGUGCCGGAGUACACAUCAAUCAUUCUGAGUGACAGGUAGGAGU
rnacentral:lncRNA from 1 species